rnacentral:lncRNA from 1 species
GUCUGCAUGAAAUAAUUUCAAUUUAGGAAUCUGACUAAACAAAUCACAUAUAAACCAACAUCUAUGUCUUCAUAUCUAUAUAUGUAAGCACUUUCAUCAACGUAUGUAAAAUUAUGUACAUUAACAAACAGAAAUAUCCAUAACAAAAACAAAGUAAUCACAUACUUCAGUUAUAUCACAUUUGUCUCUUUCUUGGUAAAAAAAAAAAACACUGGAAUAAAUCAACCUUCAAGUCAUUAAUGUUCUACAUUGCAGUUGUGUUGAUUUUGACAUUUCCAUCCCAAAACCCAACUUUAGGAAUGGGUUUACCUCCAAAACUCUUAGAUGGCCCAUCCUCCUAAAUGGACACUGAAUAUCUUUUUCUUUUAUCAUAAAAAUUGAUCAUACAUACAUUUAAAUUGAAGACAAAUCUUUCGUACUCAUUUAUUUGAAUAAAUCUAAUGUUUAAUAUUGGUGGACAGGUGUGAGCUUUCCAAAUAUAGCAGGGAGAUGGAAAAAUGCAGAAUCGACCUAAGUAGCCCAGCAAUUAUAAAUGGAUUCAGUAUUAUCGGUGGAUAACUUGAUUGCACAUAUUUAUUUGAUAAAAAGGUUAACCAUAUAUAUUCCACUAUUCAACAAAGACAGAUAAUUUUCUAAAAUUUGUUGACAAUUGGUUGCAAGCAUGUGCACAAAAUCAAGUACCUUUAAAAUACAUCAUCUUUUAAUAUUUAUUAAAGAAAAU